rnacentral:tmRNA from 1 species
GGGGAUGACUGGUUUCGACGGGGCAAAUAGGGCGUAUGCUGCAAGCCGAGGUGCUCCAUCCUCGUAAAUCAGGGGCAAAAACUUAACUGCCAACACAGGCAAAGCGUUCACCUUCCCCUUCGCCCGCACCAACGCCAUGGCGUUGGCUGCGUAACGAGAGGAUAGGGAACAAACUGGUCGCCGCAGGGUGACCACGGUGCCCUCGAUGGGGCCAGGCGGCGUCGAGGUGCAUUGACAGAGACCGUAAGGUGCGGCCCGUAGACGCCGAUAAGCGGGUCCAAGGCUCUCGGCUAGUCGAACUAGUGGACGGUGGUCACUGCCGAACCGUUCGGCGAAAUCUGAAUCAGCGGCUAAGCUUGUAGAUGCGUACGUUCGUUUGUUUCGGACCCGGGUUCGAUUCCCGGCAUCUCCACCU